rnacentral:sRNA from 1 species
GCUGGGUGCAGUGGUGUACACCUGUAAUCCCAGCGGCUCUGGAGGCUGAGGCAGAGGAUUGUGAGUUCAAAUCCAUCCUCAGCAAAAGUGAGGCUCUAAGCAACUCAACGAGACCCUGUCUCUA